rnacentral:rRNA from 1 species
AGUGAACGCUGGCGGUAGGCCUAACACAUGCAAGUCGAACGGCAGCAUAGUAAGAGCUUGCUCUUACGGGUGGCGAGUGGCGGACGAGUGAUGAAUACAUCGGAAUCUACUUUUUCGUGGGGGAUAACGUAGGGAAACUUACGCUAAUACCGCAUACGACCUACGGGUGAAAGCAUGGGAUCUUCGGACCUUGCGCGAUUGAAUGAGCCGAUGUCGGAUUAGCUAGUUGGCGGGGUAAAGGCCCACCAAGGCGACGAUCCGUAGCUGGUCUGAGAGGAUGAUCAGCCACACUGGAACUGAGACACGGUCCAGACUCCUACGGGAGGCAGCAGUGGGGAAUAUUGGACAAUGGGCGCAAGCCUGAUCCAGCCAUACCGCGUGGGUGAAGAAGGCCUUCGGGUUGUAAAGCCCUUUUGUUGGGAAAGAAAAGCAGCAGGUUAAUACCCCGCUGUUCUGACGGUACCCAAAGAAUAAGCACCGGCUAACUUCGUG